GACGAACGCUGGCGGCGUGCCUAAUACAUGCAAGUAGAACGCUGAAGGAGGAGCUUGCUUCUCUGGAUGAGUUGCGAACGGGUGAGUAACGCGUAGGUAACCUGCCUGGUAGCGGGGGAUAACUAUUGGAAACGAUAGCUAAUACCGCAUAAGAGUAGAUGUUGCAUGACAUUUGCUUAAAAGGUGCAAUUGCAUCACUACCAGAUGGACCUGCGUUGUAUUAGCUAGUUGGUGGGGUAACGGCUCACCAAGGCGACGAUACAUAGCCGACCUGAGAGGGUGAGAGGCCACACUGGGACGGAGACACGGCCCAGACUCCUACGGGAGGGAGACGGAGGGAACCUUCGGCAAUGGAAGGAAGUCUGACUGAGCAACGCCGCGUGAGUGAAGAAGGUUGUAGGAUCGUAAAGCUCUGGUGUAAGAGAAGAACGAGUGUGAGAGUGGAAAGUUCACACUGUGACGGUAUCUUACCAGAAAGCGACGGCUAACUACGUG
rnacentral:rRNA from 1 species